CUAAAGGGUGGGGAGAGUUUCAGAAUUGAGGAAAAUAAAGGAAGAAGAAUGUGGAUGGAAAAAUGCCAUGGAGGGCCAGAGCGAGGAGACCUACCAGAAUGAGGCUGCCAGCAAACAUGCCAAGUGCAGGCUUUUUUUUAGGUACCCAGCUAGACUUCGUUUCCAGCCACUCUGCUAUUACCUGGGGCCACAGGACUGACUUCUAGCCAGAGCAAGGUAGGCUCUAUGCUCUAUGUGGACCCCAGUGUGGGGUGUCAACUCAUGACCCCGAGAUCAAGAUCUGAGCUGAGAUCAAGAGUCAGAUACCCAACCAGCUGAGCCACCCAGAUGCCCCCAACCUCCACAAGAUCUUAAUUCAGCCACCUACUGGUGACACCCAUUUUAGGUCUGCAAAUCUUCUAAGAAUUACAUGGUUAUUUAUCAGGUUCAUGAGCAAGCUACAACUGUGGCUGUGCAUCCUUGUCUCGGUGUCUGAUAAAUGUGUGUCAUAGGCUCAGGUACACCCAUUUCUGGCUCCCUUGCUGGAAACUCAACUCUAGUCCUUGUAAGUACACUAUUGGUGGCAAAACCGGAUGCAGUAGAGGGAGGACAUAUAAAUACUGUGUACUCCAGAAUUCAAGCAGUGUGGCCCUUCCAGCCUGCUUAUACUCAGUCUGAAGUGUGGUUCUCUUACCUCAUGGCUUUCCCUCUGGCUUCCCACUGUGUGCUUCAACUGAUUUUAAUAAUCUAUGUGAUCCAAGUGUUUUAAUUUGGUCUGGGAGCCCUUUUGUUUCAUGACUUCUGGGGCUGGUUGCCUGCCUGGUAGUGUACUUGGGGGCCACUCCUGCAACAAGGUCAUUCCCCACGCAAUGGAGAAGAUAUGGGAAGUUUAAAAAAAUACUUUGAAUUUCUUGGGGGGUAUAUCUUGGAGCCAAUGAUUCUACUUUAUCUAAUUUGCUUAAUCAUUUGCUGUGGUUUUAAGGAAGAGUUCUGAUUUUCUAUGAAGCGAAGAAACACAAAGAACAAUAUUUUGAAAUGGACUAACUUCUGAAGUGAUUUGUGAGACCACAUCUGGAAAAUAAUUAUAGCAGAAAAAGCCCACAAACAAAUAUUUCAUCAAAGAAAUGUUGAACUGAAAAACAGCAUCACGUUCUGAUGACACUUGCUUACUUUCAUAUAUCCAUUCAAAGGAUAUUUACAAAGCCCAAGACAUGAAUCGUCUGAUGACAUUUAAGACAAUGCAAAAAUAAAUUUAGAUCUAAAGUAUCACUGAAUGACAUAAUUCAAUUGUAGUAGAAGGUCAUUAUUUAAAUAAAUAUUAAUCAGAAAUAGGA